ACGCACGUAGUUGAACAAACAUUACAUACCGAGGCACCGAACUUUUAAAACCUCGAUAUUGCAACUAAACCAGGUCGUCAUAUUGUUCAGCAUCAACUGCGUGUUCACACGUCCAAUCCGUCAACAUGAAAUCUCUGGUUAUCUUCUGCUUCGUGACCAUCUUGGUAUCUGCCAUCAAUGGGCAGCAGCAACAACAACAGCAGCUUUCUAAUAUCGAUUCUAGCGACGUCUACAAUCAAAUGUUUAAACUAGCCAGGCAUUGCCAAUCGGUGAUCAAUAGGAUUAAUCCUGUCUUGGCAUCUCAUCUUUCAUCUCAAAGUGAUGUAAUUUACGAUUCCUCGGUACCUCUGUUGAAAGAAUUACAACUUCAGCUGAUCAGUGUGUCGUGUGAAACCAUUAUUUAUGGUUCGGUAGCUGGUCAAAAAGCUGCACUGAGUGAAGCUUUGAAUGGUAAUGAUAAUAAUCAACAGAUGCUUAAAAAUCACCCUUGAAUAUCGAAUAAUUACUCAAAUGUCUCAUCGCAUAUUUUUUAAAAAAAAUACUCCUGCACGUCUUUUUAUCCUUCUCUACUUUUAAGUUCCAUUUACUAAAUUUUCCGCAAGCAAUUACAUAUUUCCGAACCAAUUAGUCUACAUGAUUGUUAAUUUAUUAUGAAUAAACAAGUUUUAAUCA